AAUUUACAAUGAAGAGUUUGAUCCUGGCUCAGGAUGAACGCUAGCGGCAGGCUUAACACAUGCAAGUCGAGGGGUAACA
rnacentral:rRNA from 1 species